CUUGUACGAUCACCAAAGUUAAGCAGCAUUGAGCAUGGUCAGUACUUAGAUGGGUGACCACUUGGAAAUACUAGGUACUGUA